GCCUCUGUGGCGGAACUGGCAGACGCACGCGGCUCAAACCCGCGCGCCCGCGUCGGCGGGCAUGCAGGUUCGACUCCUGCCGGGGGCA
rnacentral:tRNA from 1 species